UUUGCAAAUUUCAGGGGCUAAGCUGUAUUUUCUGGACUUAUCAUCUCACCCUAGUGGAAUUACACCUGUCUAAAGCAGAAUUCUCAUUUCCCUCUCUUCUUUAUCUCUUUUCUUAUCCCUUUUCUCUCUACGUAAAGAGAGGGUUGAGGGGAUAUUGGAGUUGGCAGCUUGGAGGGUUGUGAGCUGAGAAGAAAAUCUGAUGCAGACAGGAAUUUCUGUUGUUGGAAUUGCUGAACCACUUGACUAGAGCAUCUAAAUUAAGCUUGUGGAGCUGCCGAGUUGGGGCUACAGCUGAAGAAUGCAAAGCUGAAAUUGUUGGUGCUGUUCGAGCAGCAGAGAAGGCCUUCAAAGCUGAAAGUAACCUGGGGAAGGUCUCUAAUUAAGUGCAUGCUGUCCUGGAAGCAAGCUGAAUUAAACCUUCAAGUUGGAGGUUUCAGCAGAGAAGAGCUAAUUGGAGUUGCUAAAUCAUCUGAAACAACAUCUAAUCAAGCUUGAUGGAUUGGUGUGGAUGGUGUUGCCGAAAUGAAGGGGAGGAUUAUUUGAUGCAGUGAGCAAACUAUUUCAGCAUCAAAUUAAUAUUGGAGCUGAAAGAGAAUUGAUCCAUAAAAGGAUUCAUUGCUGCUGAAAUUUUAGAUUGCAAAUGGAGAUUUGAGGCUUUUGAGAUAGUAAAAGCUGAAUAGAAUUGAAGAAGUAACUAAAUCAAGGUAAGGGGGCUGCACAAGGAGAAGAAGUAGUGCUGAAAUUCUGCACAUAGUGCAGAAUUUCAGCCUUAGAGAUUCCUGCUGUGGAGCUUCUUUGGUAAUUCAAGCUGCAACGAAUUUGGAGCUUGGAAUUUAGUAAGCUGUAAAGGAGAGGGUGUGGUGCUGGAAUUUCAGCACUACGCAAAAUUUCAGCAUGAGACAGAUUUUAGUAAAAGCUGAAAACAAGUCGGGAGGAGCUCUAAAUUGAGGUCGACGCGCUCGCUAAUUACGGUAGAGACCGUUCUAGUUCGAUUGGCACUGAGUCGCGAGUACUAGUUGUCGACGCACUCCGAGACAUUGAUCUCUGUUGAUUGACACCACUACAGGUUCCAGUGCGAGCGUUGUGGCCAUGGAUCGCGGCAAGGGCCCCGCAGCUUAGCUAGCUGACACCAGAGUUCUAGUAGUUUACCAUUUUGGCUUCAUGUAUCAUCUAGUUUGAUGUACAGAGACAUGUAAAUGAAUGUAUUAUAGAAUAUGUAAAUAACUAAAUGCUUUCAUACUCAGUUAUGCAAAGUUCAGUUUGAAAGUUUUAAAUUACA